rnacentral:lncRNA from 1 species
UAUACCAUUAAGUCUGUAAAACAUGGUGGAGCCAAAGUCAUGGUAUGGGGCUGUUUCUCAUAUAAUGGUGUCGGACCUAUUUAUAAGAUUAAUGGUAUUAUGGACCAACAUAUAUAUGUCGAUAUCCUCAAUAAUGUCAUGCUGCCUUAUGCUAAUGAAGAUAUGCCGUUAAAAUGGGUCUUUUAACAAGACAACGACCCAAAACACACUAGUCACAAGGCAAAAGAGUGGUUUCAGGUCAAUGGGGUUGAGGUUAUGGAGUGGCCUGCUCAGUCACCUGACCUAAACCCCAUUGAAAACUUAUGGGGAGACGUUAAAAAAGCAGUUUCUACUGCUAAUCCAACUAAUGCUUAGCAGUUAUAGGAAGCUACUCAACAAGGAUGGUACGCAAUACCAGCAGAAAAAUGUCAAUGCCUAGUUGACUCAAUGCAUCGGCGUUGUGAAGCCGUUAUCUCAAACAAAGGUUUUGCAACGAAAUACUAAGGAUACCACUGCUAUUUCAAUGACUGCGAGCUUUCUUGAUAUUAUUGUUUUUUUUUCUGAAAUAAAAUGUAAAACUAUUA